UCCUGGUUAGCUCAGUUUGUCGAGCGCUCCACUGGAAAUAAAUAGGUCCCUGGUUCGAUACCAGGACCAGGCA
rnacentral:tRNA from 1 species